AACGAACGCUGGCGGCAUGCCUAACACAUGCAAGUCGAACGAGACCUUCGGGUCUAGUGGCGCCCGGGUGCGUAACGCGUGGGAACCUGCCCUUAGGUUCGGAAUAACUCCACGAAAGGGGUGCUAAUACCGGAUAAUGUCUUCGGACCAAAGAUUUAUCGCCUUUGGAUGGGCCCGCGUUGAAUUAGCUAGUUGGUAGGGUAAAAGCCUACCAAGGCGACAAUCCAUAGCUGGUCUGAGAGGAUGAUCAGCCACACUGGGACUGAGACACGGCCCAGACUCCUACGGGAGGCAGCAGUGGGUAAUAUUGCACAAUGGGCGAAAGCCUGAUCCAGCAAUGCCGCGUGAGUUAUGAAGGCCUUAGGGUUGUAAAGCUCUUUUACCCGGGAUGAUAAUGACAGUACCGGGAGAAUAAGCUCCGGCUAACUCCGUG
rnacentral:rRNA from 1 species